GAGCAAGGGUGAAUGUCUUAAAAUGUUAUUGUAUCAUGCACAUCAGUUUACCAUGGGCUUCUGUUCAAAAUUCUUCAGUAUCUGCUUCUUUCUUUAUCCAUACGGAGAAGAGCUCUCUUGGUGUCUGAAUUCCACACUGCCUCAGGGCCUUUGCACAUACUUUCUUCUGCCUGGAAUGCUCUUCACAGAGCUGAUUCCUUCUCAUCCUUAAAGUUCAGCUUAAAGAUUCUGUUCUCAUAGUUUACCCUUUCUCGAAUACCUAUUCUUUGUUAUUCUCUAUCACGAUAUCCCAUUUUUCCUUUCAAAAAUUCACGUUUUAUUUAUUACUUUUUUUUUUUACUGUUUCCCUAUUAGAUUAUGAGUUCAAUUUGGGUAAGACCUAUAUGUAUUUUAUUCACGGUUGACUCCCCAGCACCUGAUAAACUGCCUGGAACAGAGAGGCACUCAAAGAUUUAUAAAAUGCAUAAAGAAACAAAAAGAAUCAAACAAUGUCAAAGUCUUUGGGCGGUAAUGCAUGUUAUAUAUCAUUUUCUGACUCUGAAUAUUUAGAACAAUUAUUUAUGUUACUAUUUGCACAAUUAAAAUAUAACUGUUCUGUGAAAAUUUCCCACUGUGGUCCCUAAUUAGUACUGCUCUUUAAUCUUUUGCCGAUCUGCCUCCUAAACCAGACUGUAAGCUCUUCAACGGCAGGGACCACUACCUUAAGUCCAUUCAUUCACUCAACAAAUGAGAGGCAGGCACCUCAGGGCUAUAGACAGAGAGCUGUAUAACACAGACAUGGUUCUUACCCUUUUGUGAACUUGGCUUGCCCUCACAGUCAUUAAUUUAAUCUACUUAGCAACUGUCCUUGCCAAACACUCUUGAGGACAAAAGAAACAUAACAAUUAACAAACAGGAAUUCCUGCCCUCCUGAGUUCACGUUCUUGUGUACAGGGGCUUAAAUGUGUAUGUUACAGUUUUCAGCCUCUAAAUUUGGCAUCGCCAACAUAUAUCUAAGAAUUUGAUGUCAAAACUUGUUAGGUUAGAAGAAGUUAGAUAAUUAUAUGUUUAUGAAAUUCAGUGCAAUUCUCCUUCAAACAUAGAGAAUGGCGAGAAUGCAAAAACAGAGAAUGGGAUAGCCCUAUAGCCUGAUUAUCAUGAUUUUUUUAACCCACUUAAACCAAUUCAAAAUUGGCCAAGUAAUUUUUUUGACCUAAUCCACCCUACCAAUCUGAAUGAACUGUCUAUGCCUAGAAAUCUGCUUUAUGCCUAAGAUAAAUACUGGGAUUCAAAAGACGGAAAAAAGAGUGCCUGGGGUUGAGAAACUAGGUAAGAAAAAGAGAGGGACUCAACCCAAGCCUGCCCUUCAAAAGCUCUGGUAACGGACACCACAUUUCAGACAUGUGAUUUCAUUCACAAAGUAUUUUAAGUGGUUUAAUAUGCUGCACUGUCAGAUGACAAAGAGCAUUCUGGAUUUAAAAAAUAAAUAAAAACAUGCAGCCUAGUCUCCAGCAGAACUGAACUCCAACUAAGGGAUGAAACAGAAGAAAUGCUGUAUGUCUUGACUUGGACACAACUGAUGAGAGAUGGAAAACUGUCUGAGGAUUUCAAUCUAAUUCCUGGAUUUGAUAUCACCACAUGGAAUUCUUCAUCAUGUAAUCUGCUCUUUUCUGUAAUUGUCUUUCAGAAUCCCUAUGACGUGAAGGUUCUACCUAAUAAUCUCAGAAGAAAACUUUUUUACCUCAAAGAAUUGCCUUUCAUUCAAAGGUCAAAAUGAAUAUGUUAUAGUUUUAUAGUUUCUGUAACUAACACACCAACAAAGGAAGGAAGGAAGGGGGAAAAGAAGAAGGAAAGAAGUGGGGGAGGAAGGGAGGAGGGGAGGGAGAGAGGGAGGAAGGGAGAUAGAGUUCCAUUGCUGUUUUGAGCUUGGAGUCUUUGAAUGUCAAAGUUAGAGAAGCCAUCAUGCUCCUUCUUCAUUUUAUAAAUAAGAGAACUGAAAUCCUGAGAGACUGAAGGAUUUCCCUAAGUCAAGUUCAUGAGCAGCACAAGCAAGAUUUAGAUGAACUUUCUUCCAGAAAGAGCUAUUGUCUUUCUCCAGCUUGCUCCUCUGUGCUAGCCCUUCUUAAAGCACUCCCAACACAUUCUGCCAAUCUCCCUGAACCAGCAGGAACAGCAGAAGGAACAGGAAUCCAGGCUACUAAAGGACAGAGAACACAAAAGAGUCAAGUUUCACUGUGAUGCCAGCCUACUGUCCAGGGCUGAUGCUCAGAAAUCAAGACCUGCCACUGCCUAAAGAAUCAAAGUACACUUUUGGAAAUUCAUCCUGAUAAAGGUGAAACAUCUGACCCUGGGAACAACCACUGAAUAUUUCAACUGGAAAAGUCAACACUGCUAAUCACAGUUUUAUAGCAGGCAUGAAGCUCUCUACAAGGCCCUUGCUGAGCUGUUCCUGUAAAUCAAAACCUUACUCGGCUGUUCUUGUAGCUGGCAGUGGAACAGGGUUAGUUUUACCAUUUAUGGUUGCAAAGUCCAUCCAGAUUUUUUUUUUUUUUUUUUUUUUUUAGUUCUCCUUAGCUUUUUGUUUUUUCUCCACUCAACGCCCUCCCCCUCCUGCUGCCUUAAAAAUGUAUAUUCCAGGCUUAGCUAAAACAUGUCUGCAUAGAUUAUUUCAUUCCUUACCACGGUACAUUAAUAGAGGUGUCAAAAUGACAGAGGAUGCUUGGCUUCCACCCCUGUGUCCCAGACCCAUUCCUCAAGGGUAAGCUGCAGCUAUUUGGGAAAAGAUGAUAUGAUCUUUUGGGCUCCUGGAAGCUGACCCCCAAAGUCUAUUUGAAGUCUUAAAACACUUUCCAGUGAAAUAUAAAGUGGACAGGGCACUUAAACACAUCCUGUCUUGUCAGGCUACUCAACAUCAGCAUUGUCAUUGCCUUCAUGCCUGUGUCCAGGUGGGGACAGAGGGACCCCAGUCAUUUAACCCCAGAUGGGCUU